AUUGAACGCUGGCGGCAUGCCUAACACAUGCAAGUCGAACGGCAGCGCGGGCUUCGGCCUGGCGGCGAGUGGUGGACGGGUGAGGAAUGCAUCGGAAUCUGCCUCGACGUGGGGGAUAACGUAGGGAAACUUACGCUAAUACCGCAUACGUCCUAACGGGGAAUGCAGGGGAUCGAAAGACCUUGCGCGGCGGGAUGAGCCGAUGCCGGAUUAGCUAGUUGGCGGGGUAAAGGCCCACCAAGGCGACGAUCCGUAGCUGGUCUGAGAGGAUGAUCAGCCACACUGGGACUGAGACACGGCCCAGACUCCUACGGGAGGCAGCAGUGGGGAAUAUUGGACAAUGGGGGCAACCCUGAUCCAGCAAUGCCGCGUGUGUGAAGAAGGCCUCGGGUUGUAAAGCACUUUUAUCAGGAAAGAAAUCCAGCCGGUUAAUACCCGGAUGGGAUGACGGUACCUGAGGAAUAAGCACCGGCUAACUUCGUGCCAGCAGCCGCGGUAAUACGAAGGGUGCAAGCGUUAAUCGGAAUUACUGGGCGUAAAGGGUGCGUAGGCGGCCUGUUAAGUUCGAUGUGAAAGCCCUGGGCUCAACCUGGGAAUGGCAUCGAAGACUGGCAGGCUGGAGUGCGGUAGAGGAGGGUGGAAUUCCCGGUG
rnacentral:rRNA from 1 species